rnacentral:rRNA from 1 species
AGAGUUUGAUCCUGGCUCAGGAUAAAACGCUGACAGAAUAGCUUAACACAUGCAAGUCGAUGACUAAGUAUAGCUUGCUAUACGAGGUCAUGGCGGACGGGUGAGUAACGUGUAAAGAACUUACCUUAUAGACUGGGAUAACAGAUAGAAAUGUCUGAUAAUACUAGAUACUAUUACACUGUGGCAUCACAGAGUAAUGAAAGAAUACGCUAUAAGAGAGCUUUGCAUCCUAUUAGCUAGUUGGUAAGGUAAAGGCUUACCAAGGCGAUGAUAGGUAGCCGGCCUGAGAGGGUGGACGGCCACAAGGGGACUGAGAUACGGCCCUUACUCCUACGGGAGGCAGCAGUGGGGAAUAUUGGACAAUGGAGGAAACUCUGAUCCAGCAAUUCUGUGUGUGUGAAGAAGGUCUUCGGAUUGUAAAACACUUUUAGUUGGAAAGAAACAAAUGACGGUACCAACAGAAGAAGCGACGGCUAAAUACGUG